AUUAGAUACCCUGGUAGUCACGCUGUAAACGAUGUCUACUUGAAGGUUGUGGCCUUGAGCCGUGGCUUUCGGAGCUAACGCGUUAAGUAGACCGCCUGGGGAGUACGGUCGCAAGAUUAAAACUCAAAUGAAUUGACGGGGGCCCGCACAAGCGGUGGAGCAUGUGGUUUAAUUCGAUGCAACGCGAAGAACCUUACCUACUCUUGACAUCCACAGAAGAGACCAGAGAUGGACUUGUGCCUUCGGGAACUGUGAGACAGGUGCUGCAUGGCUGUCGUCAGCUCGUGUUGUGAAAUGUUGGGUUAAGUCCCGCAACGAGCGCAACCCUUAUCCUUGUUUGCCAGCACGUAAUGGUGGGAACUCCAGGGAGACUGCCGGUGAUAAACCGGAGGAAGGUGGGGACGACGUCAAGUCAUCAUGGCCCUUACGAGUAGGGCUACACACGUGCUACAAUGGCGUAUACAGAGGGCUGCCAACCAGCGAUGGUGAGCGAAUCCCACAAAGUACGUCGUAGUCCGGAUCGGAGUCUGCAACUCGACUCCGUGAAGUCGGAAUCGCUAGUAAUCGUGAAUCAGAAUGUCACGGUGAAUACGUUCCCGGGCCUUGUACACACCGCCCGUCACACCAUGGGAGUGGGCUGCACCAGAAGUAGAUAGCUUAACCUUCGGGAGGGCGUUUACCACGGUGUGGUUCAUGACUGGGGUGAAGUCGUAACAAGGUAACCGUA
rnacentral:rRNA from 1 species